rnacentral:sRNA from 1 species
GAGCUUAGUCCUGACCGGCAACCUGGA